GAUGAACGCUGGCGGCGUGCCUAAUACAUGCAAGUCGAGCGAACAGAUAAGGAGCUUGCUCCUUUGACGUUAGCGGCGGACGGGUGAGUAACACGUGGGUAACCUACCUAUAAGACUGGAAUAACUCCGGGAAACCGGGGCUAAUGCCGGAUAACAUUUAGAACCGCAUGGUUCUAAAGUGAAAGAUGGCUUUGCUAUCACUUAUAGAUGGACCCGCGCCUUAUUAGCUAGUUGGUAAGGUAACGGCUUACCAAGGCAACGAUACGUAGCCGACCUGAGAGGGUGAUCGGCCACAUUGGAACUGAGACACGGUCCAGACUCCUACGGGAGGCAGCAGUAGGGAAUCUUCCGCAAUGGGCGAAAGCCUGACGGAGCAACGCCGCGUGAGUGAUGAAGGUCUUCGGAUCGUAAAACUCUGUUAUUAGGGAAGAACAAAUGUGUAAGUAACUGUGCACGUCUUGACGGUACCUAAUCAGAAAGCCACGGCUAACUACGUG
rnacentral:rRNA from 1 species